UAGCUUGCUAGGAGGCGUCGAGCGGCGGACGGGUGAGUAAUGCAUAGGAAUCUGCCCGGUAGUGGGGGAUAACUUGAGGAAACUCAAGCUAAUACCGCAUACGCCCCAAGGGGGAAAGCAGGGGAUCUUCGGACCUUGCGCUAUCGGAUGAGCCUAUGUCGGAUUAGCUAGUUGGUGAGGUAAUGGCUCACCAAGGCCGCGAUCCGUAGCUGGUCUGAGAGGAUGAUCAGCCACAUCGGGACUGAGACACGGCCCGAACUCCUACGGGAGGCAGCAGUGGGGAAUAUUGGACAAUGGGCGAAAGCCUGAUCCAGCCAUGCCGCGUGUGUGAAGAAGGCCUUCGGGUUGUAAAGCACUUUCAGCGAGGAAGAACGCUUGUGGGCUAAUACCCCGCAAGAAGGACAUCACUCGCAGAAGAAGCACCGGCUAACUCCGUGCCAGCAGCCGCGGUAAUACGGAGGGUGCAAGCGUUAAUCGGAAUUACUGGGCGUAAAGCGCGCGUAGGCGGCUUGAUAAGCCGGUUGUGAAAGCCCCGGGCUCAACCUGGGAACGGCAUCCGGAACUGUCAGGCUAGAGUGCAGGAGAGGAAGGUAGAAUUCCCGGUGUAGCGGUGAAAUGCGUAGAGAUCGGGAGGAAUACCAGUGGCGAAGGCGGCCUUCUGGACUGACACUGACGCUGAGGUGCGAAAGCGUGGGUAGCAAACAGGAUUAGAUACCCUGGUAGUCCACGCCGUAAACGAUGUCGACUAGC
rnacentral:rRNA from 1 species